AAACAAAAUAUCAAAUAAAAUAAAUACUGAAGCGGUCUCAUUGCCACCAACCAAAGCCGCCUCUUUCAAACCCUAAUCCCCUGUUUCCUUUCAUAAGCAUGAGCUUCAUCAUGGUCAUCGUUUCUGGUCCUGUAUAUACACUUUCAUGAGGAGGUUAAGAAAAUAAGAACUAGGGUUUAUCUCCUUGAUUAAUGAGGAGGUUAAGAAAAUAAGAACUAGGGUUUAUCUCCUUGAUUAAUGUAAUGCUUUAUCUAUCUCAAGGUUUUGAUGCACAAUAUUAUGGAGAUCUGGUUUCAGUUUUGUUUAGUAAACCUUUAUGUCACAAUCUUAGGGCUGCAAACGAACCGAACUGAGCUGAGCAUCGAACUUGUUCAUGAACAUCGUUGCACAAACACAUAUCGAACUUAAAUUCCUGUUCGUGUUUGUUCAUUGAGGAAUUGAACUUGUUCACGAACACUAGCAAACACAUACGGUUAUUAAAAAAAAACCAACAUUCUUAAUCCCAAAUAUUAGACGCAGUCACCUUGUUAAGCACUUGAUGUAAUAAUCAUAAACAUAAUUAUCCCAAAACAAUGUUUCAAGGAUCUAAGUUUCUAUACGUGCAAUGGAGUAUUUGAGAACAGUCAUUCUAAAUUUGGAUGAACAAGUGAUUAUAUAUGCUCCUAAAGUAAUUUGUUGGCUUCUGAUGACUGUACAUGGAGAGACUAUUGUGCGGACAGAUACGGGCCAUACAAUUUUUCGGCGGAUUGCGUGAUUCGUCUCUUGACUCCUGCAAUCGAGGCUGAAGAAGAAUAACAACUCAGUUUAAAAGACUGAGGCUGAGGCAGUUGAGACAAUCUGGAAAACACGUAAAGAGGUCAUCAACAUGUAGACAGAAUUACCAAGAUGUACAGUGGUGGAUCCAGAAUUCUUUUUCACCGGUUCUUUUGGUAGAUUCUUACAAGUUCUCGCUAAUUUUUUCCAAAUCAUACAAGGUUUCCACUAAUUUUUCCACUUUUUCUAAACCAAACCCCCAAAAACCCCUUGGAUCCGCCCCUGAAGAUGUAGAUGCAAAAAAUAUUUUUGGUCUUAGACCGAAUGCAAGGUGUAUAAGACCAUAGUGUGUAAAUGAAUCGAGUUGCUCGUGAAGUACUUGAGAGACUAGUCGUUAAAAAUUAAAAUUAAAGCAAUGUUAACUAAUUUUUAUUUGACCUCA